UUGAGGUUAUCGGAACAGUGGUUUCGGGACCACAAAUCCGAUGAGAAAAAUUUUAUUUUUCUUAUAUUUUUAUGGUCUACAAUUUCACAAAAUGAUUUCGUGAAAAUUUCGUUCGAAAAUUUCGACGUUUGGGCACUCAAUUUAGUCAAAAGGACUAAAUUGUAAAAAGUGCAAAAGUUGAGUUCUACAUGUUAGAGGUGUCCAAUUGUUAUGAAACUUUAAAUUGGAGGUCCUUAUAUGGUAAUUAUACCAUUGGUAACUUGGUAGACAAAAAUGGACAUGAGAUAAGUGAAAUAGAAAAUUUUUAAGUUAGGGGCAAUUUGGUAAUCUAGUAAUUAAAAUGAAUUAAAAGGGAAAAAGAUGGCAAAAAUCAUCAUCUUCUUCAUUAGGACGAAAUCAGCAAGGGGGGAAGCCAUAGUUAGGGUUUUCAAGCUUCCAAGCUCCAUAAUCAAGAAGUACGAAACUCGAGGUUAGACAAAGGGAAGAAUAAAGUUGAAGACUAAGUUGGUGAAUUUGGCUAUAAUUGGUACCGAGUAUUGCAAAGCUACUUCAAGGAUCCUAAAGAAGUCGGAGAUCGUCCACACUAUCAACCACAACUGCUCGGUAUUUUAUGUCAAAACACGUUUGAGUUAUGGCAUGUA